GGACUACUAGGGUUUCUAAUCCCGUUUGCUCCCCUGGCCUUCGUGCCUCAGCGUCAGAAGCUGCCCAGAGACUUGCCUUCGCCAUUGGCGUUCCUCCUGAUAUCUACGCAUUUCACUGCUACACCAGGAAUUCCAGUCUCCUCUUCAGCUCUCGAGCGCCGCAGUAUCGAAUGCAGUUCCGGGGUUAAGCCCCGGGAUUUCACACCCGACUUACAGCGCCGCCUACGCACCCUUUACGCCCAAUGAAUCCGAACAACGCUUGAGACCUCUGUAUUACCGCGGCUGCUGGCAC
rnacentral:rRNA from 1 species